rnacentral:rRNA from 1 species
GUCUUCUUGUUUAUUUAGGAAGUCAGACCUGCCCAGUGAAUUUUUAACGGCCGCGGUAUUUUGACCGUGCAAAGGUAGCAUAAUCAUUAGUCUUUUAAUAGGAGGCUGGAAUGAAAGGUUUAACGAAAUAUUAACUGUCUCAUUUAUAAAUUUUAUAAUUUAAUUUUUAAGUUAAAAAGCUUAAAUUUUUUUGGAGGACGAGAAGACCCUAUAGAGCUUUACAUUUGAGUUUUAAUAAUAUUUGAUUAUAAUUUUUUAUUAUUCUAAUAAUGUUUGGUUGGGGUGACAUGAGUAAUAUAAAUAACUUUUUUAUUUAAUAACCAUUAAUUUAUGAAUUUUUGAUCCAUUAUUAUUGAUUAAUAGAUCAAGUUACCUUAGGGAUAACAGCGUAAUCUUCUUUUGGAGUUCUAAUUUAUAAGAAGGCUUGCGACCUCGAUGUUGGAUUAAGAUAAUAAUUUGGUGUAGUAGCUAAGUUUAUAGGUCUGUUCGACCUUUAAAUUCUUACAUGAUCUGAGUUCAGACCGG